GACGAACCGUGCGAACGUUAUUCGGAAUCACUGGGCUUAAAGCGCGUGUAGGCGGAUGAGGACGUCGGUCGCUGAAAUCCCCCGGCUCAACCGGGGAAGUGGCACCGAAACGCCCCGUCUGGAGGGACGUAGGGGGACCUGGAACUUCCGGUGGAGCGGUGAAAUGCGUUGAGAUCGGAAGGAACGCCCGUGGCGAAAGCGAGGUCCUGGACGUCUUCUGACGCUGAGACGCGAAAGCUAGGGGAGCGAACGGG
rnacentral:rRNA from 1 species